rnacentral:rRNA from 1 species
ACGUAGGGUGCGAGCGUUGUCCGGAAUUAUUGGGCGUAAAGAGCUCGUAGGCGGUGUGUCGCGUCGGUCGUGAAAACUAGGGGCUUAACCCUGAGCUUGCGGUCGAUACGGGCAUCACUGGAGUUCGGCAGGGGAGACUGGAAUUCCUGGUGUAGCGGUGAAAUGCGCAGAUAUCAGGAGGAACACCGGUGGCGAAGGCGGCAUCCUGGACCGAGAUUGACACUAAAGCGCGAAAGCCAGGGGAGCAAACGGGA